CAAAUCUGCAUUCACUCCUUCUUUAUAGCCUGAUAGUUUUCAUGAUGAUGAACUGCCAACCACAUUUCAGUGAAAAGGGGACAUCUAGGGAGAGAACUGAGAGUAAGAUCACCAACUGUCUGCAAGAUUUCUUCCAGGAGCUUGAAAUAUCAGCCCUUAAUGAAGCAAUUAGUGAGUAUGAUGAUAGAUGUCGACUCCUUAGGAGUUAGUUCUCCAUCGGGACCAAAAAUUGGAGAACAUCCUGGUGGAAACUGGCACAGACACCCGACGUCUCAGGCUCAUCGACUUCGUUUGCGGCUGCCUCCUGAAAAAAGGACCUUACACAAAUUGCUCUGGCACCACCCUAUACACUCCACCAGAAUGGUUCAUGUUUGGUUGCUACAGAGCAGGUCCAUGCACUGUGUGGCAGUUGGGUGUGUUGCUGUAUGAUAUUCUCCGUGGAGUGCACCCAUUCGGCAGCAGUAGGGAAAU